rnacentral:rRNA from 1 species
GCUAAACGCGAAGAACCUUACCUACUCUUGACAUCCAGAUAACCUCGUAGAGAUAUGAGGGUGCCUUCGGGAAAUCUGAGACAGGUGCUGCAUGGCUGUCGUCAGCUCGUGUCGUGAGAUGUUGGGUUAAGUCCCGCAACGAGCGCAACCCUUAUUGACAGUUGCCAAUAUUAAGUUAGGAACUCUGUCAAGACUGCCGUUGAUAAAACGGAGGAAGGUGGGGACGAUGUCAAGUCAUCAUGGCCUUUAUGUUCAGGGCUACACACGUGCUACAAUGGAUGGUACAAAACGUCGCAAUCCUGCAAGGGGAGCUAAUCGCAAAAACCAUUCUCAGUUCGGAUCGGAGUCUGCAACUCGACUCCGUGAAGUUGGAAUCGCUAGUAAUCGCAAAUCAGCAUGUUGCGGUGAAUACGUUCCCGGGUCUUGUACACACCG